UUGGGAUAUCAGGGGGACAGCACAGAGAUAGGCUGGGGAUAGGCUGGGUACAGUGUGUGGACAGUGUAAGACAGCUGGGUACAGUGUGUGGACAGUGUUUGGACAACAUGAGGUCACUGUGAGGAAAGUGUGGGGACAGCAUGGGGACA